GUGAGUGAAUUGAUAUAAAAGGCACCACAUCACAGGAAAAGAAGUUAAACCAGUCAAAUCACUUUCUCCAGUUACUGAGUGCGACAUAGAUGUUUUUCCAUUUACCUUCUUUGUCUGAACAGGCCAUCUUUGCUGCGGUUCCUGGGAAUCAGAUUAGAGAUUUCAGUAGCUGUUUUCUGCAUUGAUUUUAAUGCAAAACUUAGUUUUAGAACCAGUUGCAAACAGAUCCAUCUCAACUCACGUCUGUUUUAGGACCGCAUGGAGAAGUUCAGACAUUAAGGAUGACAGGAGACAUGAACAAGAUGACAGUGAAAGAAAAGCAGAGAAAGAAAGUUUUGGGAGUUAAGGCCAAACUCACAGAAAAACAAAGAGCCAUGGAGGACAGAGCAGAAUAUACCCGUGUCUUCAGAGAACAUUUGAGAGUGGAGCAAAAGAACAGCCUUGAUCAAUUUCGACCAAAUUACUGAUGUGUGACUCGUUCUGAUGAGACAGAAGAUGAGCUUCAUCUCAUUCUUCAGUCCCACAUGUUUAUAUAAAGCACAAAUAUUCAGUACUAGUAUUUUAUCCGUACCGUGUACAUAUAGGUUAAAAAUACUGUACUAUUUUUUAGAUUUGACUAAACAUCACACUUAAAACAUGUAGCAUUAAAUGAGAUGUUGUGUUUAUAUGGCUGAGACAACGAGAGAUCCCUGAAUAUUAACAAAUCUUCUUGACCUUCCGGUCUCUGUUUUACCUAGAAUUCAAAAUUCUAGAAUAAUGUCAUUUUUGCUUUGCAAAGUAUUUGUGUUCAAGUAUACGGGGAUGAAAUCUCAGUUGUUUCAGAGAUGACAGAAGCCCUUGUUCACAUUUUAAAUGUCUAUUAUUCCUUCCAGAAAAGAAAGUCAUGACUUUGUGUGAGGUGAUAUAAGUCUGUUAUGCUUCAUAUGUGGAGUAAUGUUCCAUUACACUGUAUUCUGUUCAACCUGAACCUGUAAACACUUGUGUGCGUCUAAUCAUUACACACAUGAUGCACAGCAUUUGUCUUAACCUGUGCAGUUUUUGCACUUAAAGUGUCACAAAAAACAAAAUGUUAAAAUGUUGAAGCUGAUCAUUAUGUAACAUACAGUAAAUAAAUAAGAGUUUGCGUUUGAUUGAUAUUAAUUGGAAUGCACAAUAAAAAAAAAACAUAAUCUUUGAACUUUCUCAUUUUGGAAAUAACCUCUGCAAAUGUUGAUUGACAUUAAAUGCCAUUCAUGGGGUGUGGAAGGGGACAGUAGUAGAAUAAUAAAUGUGUUUGAUUAAGGUUAAUAAUGUACAGGAAGUGAUGUCAUCACAAAGGAUAACCUAUUAUAAACUAGACAGAAGCAGACGUCUGAUUUCAUCAUGACCUAUAGAUUUAAAUGUAUGCAUCGUUUCCUUAUGCUGAAAAAAGUUUAUGUUACAGAUUUACAUCUUUAACUCACAGUUGUUUAGAUGUUUACAAACAAAGUCAUUCUAUGCCAUUCUGGUUUAACGGCACUUCAACGGCUUAAAGGGAAAAUCCCAUGUCGUCGAUCCACCUUCAACAUUCAAUCCUUCAUCAAUCUGAUCAGGUUCUUGGUUUAUUUUCUUGAUCAGCCUUUACUAAUGGUGCUAUGAGAACACAACUGUACAAUACUCAAAUAAAGUCUGAUUAGAAUCAUAUAUAUGAUACAAUCAUCUCUCAGGACUUCUGUAAUGGCAGAGAGUUUAAGAUGUUUGUUGGAGUUGUGAGAAUUAGGCCAGUGUUGUGAGACAUGACAUGACGUCAAUGGUUUUGUCUUAAUGACAAUAAAAUAAAUAACUCUCUAGUUCCUGGUGUAGGUUUCCAACCCCAGUAGAGUUGUCUGAAUGUUUUAACACAAUACACUGAAUAUGAAAGGCCUUAUAUGGGUUCAAAGCGAGGGAAGCGAUUGCCUUAAAAAACACAUCAAACUGCAGUUUGGCAUUGUUAUUUUUAUGUUGAGAUUAACAGAAGGCAUUGAACAGGGUCCAUGUUUGAUAUAACGCAAAUAUUGAUUCGAUUGGUGACUUUACAACAUCUAAACAAAAAAUGAACCAUAUAAUUUAUUAUUUUAUAAUAAUAAACCCAGACACAGACUAAGCACAAAGGUUUAUGGAUAUUCAUCACAGAAUUUCGAGUCCCCUCCACUGAAUUUCGUUCAUCUUGCUGUAACAUAAAACACAAAUCACAAAUACUGAACUUUUAUUUGUUUAUGAGUUUAUUUUUAUUAGUUUAAGUUAUUUGUUAAAGUUGGUGACAUAAGCAGAUGAGGUAACAUCGGCACCACUAAUGCAUAUUUGAAAUGUGCACUUGCCAGACGCUUAAUGUUUGUGCAGAACUGUGUUCUGUUAAUGAUCUUGUGAAUGAUUGAGUUGAGGUUAAAUUGAAGUAGGUGAACACAAGGCCAGUGAUCCUUCACAACUAAAAUACAACCAGAAACAUCAUGUGUAAAGCAAGAGAAAUAAAAAAUGUGGAAACACUUUCCUUGAAGCAUGUAUUUAUAAUGAUUAUAAAGACAUGUAGAGACAUGAUAAAGACAUGAUUAUAAAGACAUGUAGUUGAAAAGAUUAUAACCAAUUUAAAAUUUGUAAUGCAACAAUGAAUUGCAAAGUCUUUUAAUGUAUUAACUGUAAUAACAAUUAUUUUAAUACAUUACAAUGCAUUAGAAGGUGAAUUAAAUCUACUUUUAUAAUGCAUCUUACAUACAUUCUUCAAGGAAAAUGUUACCAAAAUGUUUUUUAAAAGCAUCUUCUUGGUUUAUGCUGAAGCCACCCUGCAGCACUUGUACUGUUGGAUGUUUGCUCAACACAUACUUCUCGUUCUCACAUGAUGAACACAUACACACCUUUCAUUGCUCUGACGUCAAUGGGCGUAGUUUCAAUUUCUAGAAACAUAUAUUCUCUCUUUUGUUAAAUCACGGUGAUGAAAUCACACGAUUCACAACUCACACAAACUCAGUGAUUCUUUUUUCACGGCGAUCAGAAGGGAGCGUGAGGGUUUAUGGAAAACCUGGAGGAGAUAUAAUGUGUGACAGAUGUGAAGCAUCAGACAUCACAGAUCAGACAUCUUCAUAGAAAACAGACUGAUGGAUGAGCAGGAGGAAUACUCAAAACAAAACAAUCAACUACGGAGAGAAAGCAUGAUACAUAAACCAGACCUUUCACUAGAUGCAAACAUGUGUUUAGGGCUUCACUGUGCUCAAUGUGAGGGAGUCAAAGAUGAGAUGUUUGUACAUCAUUCGUGUGUUGCUGUCCUCGUGAUGUUCAUCAGUCAGUAUGUUAUGAACCGCUCAUGGACUCGUCUGCUGGGACGGAAAGUGAAACAUGUAUUAAAACAGACUUAAGGAAGUCUCUUUCUCUCCUUGAAUGAAAGGCUCUUCAAAAAGAGACUUGACAGGACUUGUGUACACACAUCCUUUAAAACGUCAACAUUUUAGGAUUCAGCAUGUGUGUCAAUCGUUGAUGCUUAAUAACAAGUGUUUAUAGACAAUAUAGACACAAUUGAGAAGUGAGGACGUGAAGAAUUUAACAUAACAGAGCUUAUAAAACAAGCUGUGAAGUUAUGGAUGUGAAGUGAAGUUAUCAAACAUACUGUAUAUACUGUGUCUGUAUAGGUCUAUUCAUGAUAACAAUCACAAUUAUUAUUUAUGUUAAAAUACAGAAACAGCUUUAUUUAAGCACUGUGGAACCUCUGUUGGUAUUUAAGUAUAAAAACAAAUCCUUUUAUUUAUGUUUAUUGUGUUGAACACAAACAUUUAAACACAAAUUUAACAUAACAGAGCCAAACAAUAUAAGCAGUGAGGUUUUGUUUAUAAUGCAAAUGUUUGUGCACUUUUAUUUUUUGUAAUUGUAUACUUAUUUAUAACUUUUUUUAAUUUUAAAGAAAUAAAAUGGUGUGAUGUGAA